UGUUAGAUAUAUAGAAAAAAUUGAAUGUAAAGGAAUAUGAUGUGUUAAUUCUGUCUGCUUUACAGAAAUUUGAAGAUAUUAAGAGUGUAUUAGAAAUUCCUAUGACUCACCUAGAGUCACUGAGAAAUCAUAUGCAUGUAUAUGAUUUUAAAAGGACUUCACAAUUAAAUACAGGAAGAUGGAUAAUAUGAAGCUUUUGCUUUCAAAAUCUUAUAAAGGUGCAGCAAGUGUGGCAAUAAGCAGACUGAGGAAGGCAUAAAGGGUCUGAUGUGAAGCAGAGAAGGCAGAGGUGGCUGAGGGUUUGGAGUAAAAUCGAGAAUGGCCAUGAAGAUUUGACCAAGGAGCUCUGAGAUUGAGAAGGAAUUAGAACGAAGUCCACAGGGAAGUUGAGAAAAUUGGCAGAAAAUUUGAAGAGGAGGGUUUCAACAGGAGAUGAUCAAAAUUAAAAAAAAAAGAAAGAAAGAAAACAGAAAAAUAAGGAAGAAUUCAUUUUGAACUUCUGAAUCAUGACCUUGGGUGUCCCAGACUGAAGUAUCAGAGAGCCCAAGGUCCCAGAGGCACUGUACAGACACGAGAGCCAAUGGAACUAAGACUGUCACCCCCUCUCCAGCUUAGGUACUCAUCCAUAUGCAGUAACUGGUGUAAAUCACCAGAUGUUAUUUCCUUUGGUAGUAAAAUAUAUGAUUUAAUGUAUACAUAUAUAUUUUUUAAAAAUAGAAAUAAUUUAAAAUCAUAAGAAUACAAUUAAAAAUGAAAUAAUUGGAGCUUCCAUUUUUAUCUUCAAUAUUCAAAAAGAACUGUUUGUUGGAAACUUUUUUAACCACAUGAAAUUCUCUUGAAUGCAGUGAUUCAAAGUCAUGAAUAGUCAUACUAUAUAUAAAAUCUGCCUUAGUGGAGACCCAAGAAAAAUAAAAGCAAGCCCUUUUUAUUAACAUUUUACUUAACUUGUUUUGAAUGAAGCAGGCAUGCGUCAAGAAAAUUUCCUUGAAUUUUGUCAAAGGCUUUUUCUGCAUCUAUUGAGAUAAUCAUGUGGUUUUUG
rnacentral:lncRNA from 1 species